rnacentral:tRNA from 1 species
GCCCGGGUGGUGGAAUUGGCAGACACGCUGGAUUUAGGUUCCAGUUCUGAAAGGAGUGCGGGUUCAAGUCCCGCCUCGGGCACCA